AUGCAGUAGGUCUUUAUAGUUUAUUCAUGCACUGUAACUGUGAUUGCAUUAGAGGUGUACAGCUACAAUGGGCCGGGCAGAUCAUGGACUUGUGCUGCUUGGCAUGUCAAUAACUACAAUAUUGAGAUUGUGAUGGGUCACUGGAUCCUGGCUUCCAUGUCAGGCACACAAGUAGAUGUAAUGUGGGCAGUUCUGGGCUGACAUUGCCCACAUUUAGAGGCAUGAUGCUAUACAGU
rnacentral:misc_RNA from 1 species